AACGAACGCUGGCGGCAUGCCUAACACAUGCAAGUCGAACGAGACCUUCGGGUCUAAUGGCGCACGGGUGCGUAACGCGUGGGAACCUGCCCUUAGGUUCGGAAUAACUCCCCGAAAGGGGUGCUAAUACCGGAGAAUGUCUUCGGACCAAAGAUUUAUCGCCUUUGGAUGGGCCCGCGUUGGAUUAGCUAGUUGGUAGGGUAAAAGCCUACCAAGGCUACGAUCCAUAGCUGGUCUGAGAGGAUGAGCAGCCACACUGGGACUGAGACACGGCCCAGACUCCUACGGGAAGCAGCAGUGGGGAAUAUUGGACAAUGGGCGAAAGCCUGAUCCAGCAAUGCCGCGUGAGUGAUGAAGGCCUGAGGGUUGUAAAGCUCUUUUACCCGGGAUGAUAAUGACAGUACCGGGAGAAUAAGCUCCGGCUAACUCCGUG
rnacentral:rRNA from 1 species